UACAGAGGGUGCAAGCGUUAAUCGGAAUUACUGGGCGUAAAGCGUGCGUAGUCGGUUAUCUAAGUCGGGUGUGAAAUCCCCGGGCUCAACCUGGGAAGUGCAUCCGAAACUGGCGAGCUAGAGUACUAAAGAGGAUCGCGGAAUUCCCGGUGUAGAGGUGAAAUUCGUAGAUAUCGGGAGGAACACCGGUGGCGAAGGCGGCGAUCUGGGUAGAUACUGACGCUGAGGUGCGAAAGCGUGGGGGAGCAAACAGG
rnacentral:rRNA from 1 species